CCUACGGGGGGCAGCAGUAGGGAAUUUUCGUCAAUGGGCGCAAGCCUGAACGAGCAAUGCCGCGUGAACGAGGAAGGUCUUCGGAUCGUAAAGUUCUGUUGAAGGGGAAAAAGAGCGGAGAGAGGAAAUGGUCUCCGAUUGAUAUUACCCUUCGAGGAAGUCACGGCUAACUACGUGCCAGCAGCCGCGGUAAUACGUAGGGGGCAAGCGUUAUCCGGAUUUACUGGGUGUAAAGGGGGCGCAGACGGCAAUGCAAGCCAGGAGUGAAAGCCCGGGGCCCAACCCCGGGACUGCUCUUGGAACUG
rnacentral:rRNA from 1 species